CACGUAGGAGGCAAGCGUUAUUCGGAUUUACUGGGCGUAAAGCGCGUGCAGGCGGUUUGGAAAGUUGGAUGUGAAAGCUCCUGGCUCAACUGGGAGAGGUCGUUCAAUACUUCCAGACUUGAGAGUGGUAGAGGGAGGUGGAAUUCCGGGUGUAGUGGUGAAAUGCGUAGAUAUCCGGAGGAACACCAGUGGCGAAGGCGACUUUCUGGCCCGAUACUGACGCUCAGGCGCGAAAGCGUGGGGAGCAAACAGG
rnacentral:rRNA from 1 species